GCCCAAAUUAAAGCCCCUCUAACUAAACAAACCGAAACAAACAAAAUAAAACAUUCUUCCCAUUAAGUAACGGCGAUUAAAAAAUAACUAGGAGCCAUAAAAAAAGUACCGCAAGGGAAACAUGAAAUAAAAUGAAAACCUAAGCACAGCACAGCAAAGAUUAAAUCUUGUACCUUUUGCAUCAUGGUCUAGCUAGUUUAAUCAAGCAAAACGUACUUAAAGUUUGACCCCCCGAAACUUGGCGAGCUACUUUAGAACAGCAUAAGCCAACCCGUCCCUGUAGCAAAAGGGUGGAAAGAUUCUAAAGUAGAGGCGACAUACCUAUCGAGCCUAGAGAUAGCUGGUUAUUCAGAAAAAGGAUUUAAGUCCAACUUUAAGUUUUUUUAGUACUACUAAACACACCAACAACUUAAAAGUCAUUCAAAUAAGGUACAGCCUAUUUGAACAAGGAAACAACCUACAAUGCAGGGUAACAACCCAUUUCGGCGGCCAAGUAGGCCUAAAAGCAGCCAACUUCCAAAAGCGUCCAAGCUUCCCCUCCAUAUAUGCCCAAUCCCCCCAAUAACGCAGAACCCACAACCAUUACUGAAUAAUCCCAUACCCUUAUGGGAGUUAUUAUGCUAGAACUAGUAACAAGAAGAAGAACUUCUCCAAAAUGUAAGCGUAAGCCAAUAAUGAACCCCCACCGGCACUUACCCGCUAUCCUCCGCAGUAUUAACCCCACAAGAAAACCUUACUGCCCCCAACGUCAACCUUACACCAGAGCAUUUCCGGAAAGAUUAAAAGAGAGGGAAGGAACUCGGCAAAUACCGGCCCCGCCUGUUUACCAAAAACAUCGCCUCUUGAUGCUAUAACCAUAAGAGGUCUAGCCUGCCCGGUGACAUAGUUAAACGGCCGCGGUACCCUAACCGUGCGAAGGUAGCACAAUCACUUGUUCUUUAAAUCAGGACCAGUAUGAAUGGCCUCACGAGGGCUAAACUGUCUCCCCCCUCCAAUCAGUGAAACUGAUCCCCUCGUGAAGAAGCGAGGAUAUCCAAAUUAGACGAGAAGACCCCAUGGAACUUUAAACUUGUACCACUGCCCAAAACACACCACAUAAACCCGAGCAUAAUGGCUACUAGUCUUUCGGCUGGGGCGACCACGGAGAAAAACUAAACCUCCACGAUGAACGGAAACACCCUAAUCCUAGAACUACCAUUCUAAGAAUCAACAAACUGACAAACAUUGACCCAAUACACUGAUCAACGAACCAAGCUACCCUGGGGAUAACAGCGCAAUCCAUUUCAAGAGACCCCAUCAACAAAUGGGCUUACGACCUCGAUGUUGGAUCAGGGUAUCCUGAUGGUGCAGCCGCUAUCAAAGGUUCGUUUGUUCAACGAUUAAAACCCU
rnacentral:rRNA from 1 species